rnacentral:rRNA from 1 species
AUUGAACGCUGGCGGAAUGCUUUACACAUGCAAGUAGAACGGUAGAGGGGGCAACCCCUCGAGAGUGGCGAACGGGUGAGUAAUAUAUCGGAACGUGCCCAGUAGUGGGGGAUAACGUAGCGAAAGUUACGCUAAUACCGCAUACGAUCUAAGGCUGAAAGCGGGGGGUCGCAAGACAUCGCUCGCUCGGAGCGGACGAUAUCAGAUUAGGUAGUUGGUGGGGUAAAGGCUCACCAAGCCAACGAUCUGUAGCUGGUCUGAGAGGACGAGCAGCAACACUGGAACUGAGACACGGUCCAGACUCCUACGGGAGGCAGCAGUGGGGAAUUUUGGACAAUGGACGCAAGUCUGAUCCAGCCAUUCCGCGUGCAGGAUGGAGGCCCUCGGGUUGUAAACUGCUUUUGUACGGAACGAAAAGGUCUCUCUUAAUACGGGGGACUCAUGACGGUACCGUAAGAAUAAGCACCGGCUAACUACGUGCCAGCCGCCGCCGUAA